AACGAACGCUGGCGGCAUGCCUAACACAUGCAAGUCGAACGAGACCUUCGGGUCUAGUGGCGCACGGGUGCGUAACGCGUGGGAACCUGCCCUUAGGUUCGGAAUAACUCCCCGAAAGGGGUGCUAAUACCGGAUAAUGUCUUCGGACCAAAGAUUUAUCGCCUUUGGAUGGGCCCGCGUUGGAUUAGCUAGUUGGUAGGGUAAAAGCCUACCAAGGCGACGAUCCAUAGCUGGUCUGAGAGGAUGAUCAGCCACACUGGGACUGAGACACGGCCCAGACUCCUACGGGAGGGAGCGGUGGGGAAUAUUGGAGAAUGGGGGAAAGCCUGACACAGCAAUGCCGCGUGAGUGAUGAAGGCCUUAGGGUUGUAAAGCUGUUUUACCCGGGAUGAUAAUGACAGUACCGGGAGAAUAAGCUCCGGCUAACUCCGUG
rnacentral:rRNA from 1 species